rnacentral:rRNA from 1 species
UACGUAGGAAGCAAGCGUUGUCCGGAUUUAUUGGGUGUAAAGGGUGCGCAGGCGGAAUGGCAAGUCGGUGGUGAAAUCCUCGUGCUUAACACGAGAGCUGCCAUCGAUACUGCUGUUCUUGAGUGCGGGAGAGAGUGAUGGAAUUCCAGGUGUAGCAGUGAAAUGUGUAGAUAUCUGGAAGAACACCAGUGGCGAAGGCAGUCACUUGGCCCGUAACUGACGCUCAUGCACGAAAGCGUGGGGAGCAAACAGG